ACAGCAGUCGCCGCGGGAAUACGUAGGGUGCAAGCGUUAAUCGGGAUUACUGGGCGUAAAGCGUGCGCAGGCGGUUCUAUAAGACAGAUGUGAAAUCCCCGGGCUCAACCUGGGAACUGCAUUUGUGACUGUAGAGCUGGAGUGCGGCAGAGGGGGAUGGAAUUCCGCGUGUAGCAGUGAAAUGCGUAGAUAUGCGGAGGAACACCGAUGGCGAAGGCAAUCCCCUGGGCCUGCACUGACGCUCAUGCACGAAAGCGUGGGGAGCAAACAGGAUUAGAUACCCCCGUAGUCCCUGUCUCUUAUAC
rnacentral:rRNA from 1 species